GACGAACCGUGCGAACGUUGUUCGGAAUCACUGGGCUUAAAGGGCGCGUAGGCGGGCGUGGAAGUCAGGGGUGAAAUCCCACGGCCCAACCGUGGAAGUGCCUUUGAUACUCCGCGUCUAGAGGGGGAUAGGGGCGUGCGGAACUUCCGGUGGAGCGGUGAAAUGCGUAGAUAUCGGAAGGAACACCGAUGGCGAAAGCAGCGCGCUGGAUCCCUACUGACGCUGAGGCGCGAAAGCCAGGGGAGCGAACGGG
rnacentral:rRNA from 1 species